UCCCUGGUAGUAUAUCGGUUAGUACACGCGCCUGUCAUCCUACAGUAUGUCUUCAGUGACGCGCGAAAGCUGGGUUCGACUCCCAGCCAGGGAG